rnacentral:lncRNA from 1 species
AGGCACUGCAGACACAGCUGCUGCGGAAGGAGACAGCCAAAGCUUCCAAGGAAAGAAAUGGCCAAGAUUUGAGAGAAACCUGGCAGCGUCCCCAAGCCUGGCACCGGAUCGCCUCAGACGCACUCGGCUGCUCCGGAGGCGGAGCGCGAGGCACCGGACCCGGCGGGCGGAGCCAGGCCAGCGGGGCGCAGCGCAGCGCCUUCCGCCAGGGCGUCUGGCGCCACCUACCGGCGACCAGGCAAGCGAAACUUUCCACUGAGCAGCAGUUGCUGUGACCACCUGGGCAUCAAAUGGCAAUUAAUUGGAACAGACUUGAUAAAUGAACUGUGGAUGAGAGCGCCGUGUUCAUGACCAGGCGCUUUCCCACCCACCUGCUUAUGCUGCCACAGUGAACACAAAUUUACAUACCUGGAAGAAACAAGACUUUCUGAAGCAUUCGCAAUAAAUGCAAUAAAUGCAGGAAAUCUGUCUGUCGUGGCUAAAACACCCCCACUGCUUCGUUUGGCAUCGUUCUUGUUCAUAUUCAAAGCAUUGGCAGUGUUUCUCCUGACUAGUUUGUGGCAAUUAUCACACUGGUGGUAACUGAAAUGGCUUUUCUAAAUCUAGAACCCGGGUUCCGUGAAAUAGCGAAGAAGAAUUCCCCCUUUAAGGAAUAGGAAUGUUUUUGCAAUAAAACAAAACGGACACC